rnacentral:snoRNA from 1 species
CCUGCUUCUAGAGACAUUGCAGGUGUGUGUCACAUGUGUGUCAGUAGGUGGCAGAGAGGAGAGUGGCUAUGUCUAAGCUCACUGUUGUGACCUGAGAACAUCUGAAUGAGUAGUAGCCUACCACU